AAGUGGAUAUCCUGAUUAGCUCUUCCUUCGGCCCAGUCCAGAAUGAACUUCUGCGCAGAGACUGUUUUACCAAUGCCAGCGACUCCCUUUGUCAGCACAGUUCUGAUAGGCUUGUCUUGUCCAGCUCUGUAAAGAUCUUAUUGAGAAGACUUGGGUUUCCUAGGACAGCUAUUCCUUCAAACACACACCAAAACUUCUUCUUCAGGAAGUGAAGUGUGAUCUUCAGAGCCCCCUCUCUGGCCCUGCUCUCCUGCUUCUCAUCUUCAGCAUCCUCUCUCUAACUCUAUAAGCAUUCUGGGAGAUCUGGACUCAUUCUGGGAGAAUCCUCUUGAAACUCUUCAGUUCUUUCUUCACUAAAGUGAUGACAGUCUCUUCAAGUGACUGAGAAAGAGAUGUUAAGAUAAGUGUUUUAUUUUUAUUUUUUUUACAUUUAGGUGUAAUUCAUUCUGCACAAGCAACUGAAACCAACCAAUACAAAAAAAAAGUUAAUUAAAAUGAUAUUUGGCCUUCUUUUCAGCAGUUUUUACAUUUAGGUAAACCCAUUGGGAAUUCAGACAAAAAAGUUAAGUUCAAUUCUAUUUUUAUGUAUGACAUCUCACCAUGAAUGUUUUAUUGUACCUUUAUUUAACUAGGCAAGUCAGAACAAAUUCUUAUGUUCAAUGAUGACCUAGGAACAGUGGGUUAACUGCCUUGUUCAGGGGCUGAAUGACAGAUUUUUACCUUGUCAGCUCCAGGAUUCGAUCUUGCAACCUCUCAGUUACUAGUCCAACGCUCUAACCACUAGGCUGCCUGCCGCCCCAUGAGGAAUAUUGAGUCCAGGUCUGUUGUAUGACUUUGGGAAGACUGACCACUGGAAAUAUCUGCUUCCGAUCUCUCCUGUUGGUCUCUGUAAGAAAAAGAAGUUGACUACAACUGAUCAACCAGCUUCACCCCAAAACAAUGACACAAUACUUCGUAUCCCUGUUUAGUAGAGAAGUCUCCCUCUCUGAGGUUUACUGGUUUUCCCAUAGACUGUUCACUCUUCAUCAACAGACAGCUGGGUACAGGGGAGUCUGGGCUCUUGUGUCUGUGCAUCAAAGCUGGGACCGAGUGACUGAAAAACAGCUUCUAUCUCAAGGCCAUCAGACUGUUAAAACAGCCAUCACUAACAUUGAGUGGCUGCUGCCAA